rnacentral:rRNA from 1 species
CCUACGGGAGGCAGCAGUGGGGGAUAUUGGACAAUGGGGGAAACCCUGAUCCAGCGACGCCGCGUGAGUGAAGAAGGAUUUCGGGAUGUAAAGCUCUAUCAGCAGGGAAGAAAGAAAUGACGGGAGCGGAGUAAGAAGCCUAGGCUAACUACGGGCCAGCAGCCGCGGUAAUACGGAGGGGGCAAGCGUAAGCCGGAAUUACUGGGUGUAACGGGAGCGUCGACGGUAAGGCAAGUCUGUAGUGAAAGGCGGGGGCCCAACCCCCGGACUGCUCUGGAUACUGUGUACCUGGAGGGCAGGAGCGGCAGGCGGCAUUCCUCGUGUAGCGGUGCACUGCUUAGCUAU